rnacentral:misc_RNA from 1 species
AACGCACAUUGCGCCCGCCAGUAUUCUGGCGGGCAUGCCUGUUCGAGCGUCAUUUCAACCCUCAAGCCCAGCUUGGUGUUGGGACUCGCGAGUUAAAUCGCGUUCCCCAAAUUGAUUGGCGGUCACGUCGAGCUUCCAUAGCGUAGUAGUAAAACCCUCGUUACUGGUAAUCGUCGCGGCCACGCCGUUAAACCCCAACUUCUGAAUGUUGACCUCGGAUCAGGUAGGAAUACCCGCUGAACUUAA